rnacentral:rRNA from 1 species
UACGAAGGUGGCAAGCGUUGUUCGGAUUUACUGGGCGUACAGGGAGCGUAGGCGGUUGGGUAAGCCCUCCGUGAAAUCUCCGGGCCUAACCCGGAAAGUGCGGAGGGGACUGCUCGGCUAGAGGAUGGGAGAGGAGCGCGGAAUUCCCGGUGUAGCGGUGAAAUGCGUAGAGAUCGGGAGGAAGGCCGGUGGCGAAGGCGGCGCUCUGGAACAUUUUUGACGAUGAGGCUCGAAAGCGUGGGGAGCAAACAGG